rnacentral:lncRNA from 1 species
CUCCAAAUUUCCCCACGUAACAAAUCCUAGAGCUUUCCUAGGAUGCCUAUAAAUAGGCAUCACCUGCAGCAAGAGGGGGAGACAAAAAAAAAGGGGGGGAAACUCUGCAGAAAAUAAGAAGCAACUUUUAGAGAAAAUACCAAAAGCAACAAGGUGAUGCUAGGAAAGAGAGCAAGCUAUUCAACCAUUUUGUGCUUUUGAAUCAAGAUCCAAAAGAAGAACAUUCAUCACCAGGUAUGAAGCAAGUUCUUUUAAAAUUAUUCUUUUUCUCUAGUUUGAUGUUAUGUUGCAAGAAGAACAAAAAAAUUGCGGCAGCAAACACAAAAAUAAAAAGCUGCAAUGAAUGAGGAAAGGGAAACAAGCAAGAGCAUAUAAGACCUUUGCCUCUUUGUUUGGCGUUCUUCACCAAUUAAAUGGAGUUGGAGACUCUAAAUAUCCACCGACUCCCCAGCUGCAGCAGAGAUAAUCUAAGAAUCCCAUGAAUUUCUUCGGGGUGGCCUAGAGCACCCCGUGAAAUUUUAACCAAAGUUUAAAUAGUCUACUCCUUCGCCAGAUUGUCAAGUGCAAUUUCAAAGCUCUAAGCUUAAGUUCCCGAGAAAUAAGACAGCAAGGAGUCAACAUAUACAAAGAUGCAACUCAAGAAAGAGAAAAGAAAUUAUUCUAUUUGGUGUUUUUGUUUUUGCUACCCACGGGUACAAAACAUGGAGGAUGGCUUUGGCUAAAAACUCUACUAAAACCAUUGGGGAUAAAGAGUCCAAGGAAAAGGAAAAGUCGGAAAAGAGGAUGUCUCCCUUUAUAUUUAUAAAGCUCCAGCAAAGUUGAUGAUGUUUGUUCAAGUGUUUCCAAGGUGGACCAAAGUUAAAGCAUGGGACUUCACCAAAAGAAAAAGCAUGGGACAAGUGGCUGUUGUGUUUGGAAAAAUGGUGCAGCUAUAUUUAGGGAAGCAUGCCAUGUAAAACACUCCGAACACCAAACUAUAUUUUCUCAUGGGUACUGACAUUAGCUAUACUCAAAGGUAGCUGUCAUGUUUGAAAAAAGGAGCAGCUAGGUUGGAAGAAACAUGCCGUGUAAAACACUUCAAAUAUCAAACUAUAUUUACUCAUGGAUACUGAGGAAAAAAUGUUAUGGAUGACUAAUGUUGAUAAGAAAGAAAAGCAAGCAGACUACCAUGAGCAUGGCUAUUUUAAAACCACUCACAUGACAUUCAAAUGGAAAAGCAUCGAAGGCAACACACAAAUAGAAAAAAAAAAAAAAAAGAAAUGGGUGCGUUACUACAAAUUUCAGGGGGGGUGGUAAUUCCCACCUUUGGAGCCAUGAAUCAACAAUUGUCUUCAGCAAACUCGGUACUGCAAAUAGUGUGUCCAACAACCAAGCCUGCGACGACUGCACAAAAAAAUUUAUCACGGUUCAGAGCAGCUUCAACCCACACCAAAUCAAGUACAGAAAAUAGAAAACAAAAAAAAAAUGGAAUGACCUGCUGGUUAUUUUCUCCUUUUCGCUCUG